rnacentral:misc_RNA from 1 species
GAUGAAGAACGUAGCGAAAUGCGAUAAGUAAUGUGAAUUGCAGAAUUCAGUGAAUCAUCGAAUCUUUGAACGCACAUUGCGCCCGCCAGUAUUCUGGCGGGCAUGCCUGUUCGAGCGUCAUUACAACCCUCAGGCCCCCGGGCCUGGCGUUGGGGAUCGGCGGAAGCCCCCUGCGGGCACAACGCCGUCCCCCAAAUACAGUGGCGGCCCCGCCGCAGCUUCCAUUGCGUAGUAGCUAACACCUCGCAACUGGAGAGCGGCGCGGCCACGCCGUAAAACACCCAACUUCUGAAUGUUGACCUCGAAUCAGGUAGGAAUACCCGCUGAACUUAAGCAUAUCAAUAAGCGGAGGA